CAUAUCUGCCACCAUACAGGUGCCUCUUAGCAGUAAGAGGAGAAUAGGGAAGCUCGGAAGGAUGCACAAUCCUUAAACGACGCGGUCGCGCCACUGUAAUCGGGGAGGAACACCCAAACCAAGCCACCGGUAAUCGGGAAGGCCAGGGGUUCUGAUUAUCCGUAAGCCAGGAGACCUGCCUGUUUUGGCUGUUAUUUA
rnacentral:ncRNA from 19 species